UACAGAGGGUGCAAGCGUUAAUCGGAAUUACUGGGCGUAAAGCGCGCGUAGGUGGUUUUGUAAGUUGGAGGUGAAAUCCCCGGGCUCAACCUGGGAACUGCCUCCAAAACUGCAUGACUAGAGUACGGUAGAGGGUGGUGGAAUUUCCUGUGUAGCGGUGAAAUGCGUAGAUAUAGGAAGGAACACCAGUGGCGAAGGCGACCACCUGGACUGAUACUGACACUGAGGUGCGAAAGCGUGGGGAGCGAAUGGG
rnacentral:rRNA from 1 species